rnacentral:rRNA from 1 species
ACGCUCGACACCUACGGGGGCAGCAGUGAGGAAUAUUGGUCAAUGGGCGCUAGCCUGAACCAGCCAAGUAGCGUGAAGGAUGAAGGCUCUAUGGGUCGUAAACUUCUUUUAUAUAAGAAUAAAGUGCAGUAUGUAUACUGUUUUGUAUGUAUUAUAUGAAUAAGGAUCGGCUAACUCCGCGCCAGCAGCCGCGGUAAUCUGAGCGGGCUGGCAAGGC